rnacentral:lncRNA from 1 species
CCCUGGAGUUUGAAUUCUCAGAAGUAAGGUGUCAGAUUCCAACCCUUUCAUAUCCCCCAGGGCCACAAUUUUAGAGACAAAAUAUGCUUAGCUUCUGGGGUAGAUGUGAGAUUUAGCCACGGUUCAGUGCGUUUGAACACGCAUGCCUAUACGUCGCUGUGGCCUGGCUUCCUCUGAAGAGGAUCUCACCUUAGCUCCCAGAGGUGAGUUAACUGGACGUAAAACAGACAGGUGCAAGAAGACAGUCAUUCAUGGCGGCAUGAAAAUACAUUUUGUCUAACGUCACCUUUAAGUCAUGACAGAAUAUGAGAGGAAAUCAGAGGGACCAUGCUGUCGUCCUGGGUGCAAAAUAAAAGUCGAGUUUCGUGGGUCCUGGCCAUUUCUAGGACCAGUUAUAUUUUUGAUGAAGCCACAUUGGAUGUUAAGUAAAGUACGCUCUUUGCCUGUUUCUGGGUAAUGGAUCUGGAGGGAUUGGAAUACAUUUUUUGUAUUUUUUCAAAAUAUUACAAUGGGCAUGAUAAUUUUUAGCAAGAAUCAGUGAAGUAAUUAAAAUAAAAACAUUUUAUGCUUUAUGCUUUUCUAGAAAUUGCCAUUUUGUUUGUCAACCCUGUGAUUUAAUAACUCAAUGCUUGAAUGCUGCUGCGUGAUAAUGAGGGAAAAAUGGGAAUAGGAGACAUGUUUGCCGUUGGGUGUGGAGUGCAAAAACACAAUUGUGAUUUGGCCAAAGAACAGCUCACUAGCAAAUAUCUACCUCCAGGGAAAACCGAGUUCACUUGCUCUAGCAAAGCUGGCUUCAUGGACUGAUGGGAAGAUUAAGUGGUUAAUUUCCAUAAAGUCUGGAAGAGUGCCUGGCGUAGCUUAGGCACAUCAAUCAAUGUAAGUUAUGCUUGUGGUUAUUAAAAUAUUGACAUAAAAAUGAGAGUAUGCAUUCAAUGUCCUCUUUAUUUUUAAUCUUUCGGUGUCUAAAAUAAUGACAUAUUGCCAGUAAUAAAUUCAGCAUGAACACUUACUACAGCCACUAUUUAAAUUCAUGAUAUCAGUUACAUAAAUAUUUUUGCGUUUUCACUUAGUACGGUCUUUUCAUUUACUAAAUACCUCUCUGGAAUUAUAUUUAUGAUUUGAUAUUUCUGUUAUGAGGAAGAAGUUGUGGAGGUCAGUGUAGGGCAGUUAAGAGAAGGACUCUGAGACAGAACACUGAUGAUAAGCCUGGGCCACCCAGGCAAGGAUUUUCCAUUACUUUUGGACCAGUCCACUGGCAAUAGCAUUGCUUUGGCAACUCUGAGGUGACAUCACUUUGUCUCUUGUUCUCUGGGUUUUCCUCUUGACAUUUAUUAGGGCAGUGGACUUCUGCUCGACAUCAUCUUGAAAGUCUAGGCUUGUUAUAUUGUGUCAUAAAUAAAUAUAACUGCUAUUUCCAGAAAACAGAGACACAGUCAGUUCAAAAUUAGAAAUUGAAUGGAAGCUCCAUGGAGAACCAGUGAGAUGUCGCCAUGAUGUAAAAUUUGGAAGGACAGAUCCAGCCACAGGGAGACAAAAUCUGUCAUCUUGCAAGGCCCCUGUCACCAGCACAUGCCGCAAGGUCAUGGCCCCUGCCCUCCCGCAGAGGCUGAGAUGGAGAUGCAGAGCCCCCCGUCUGCUCAGAAGAAGGACGCAGAACAUGACUUGCUUUGAUGAUUUCCAAUAAACUUCCUCGCUGACUUUCCUCUCAUCUCUUCCCCUCCCUCCUUCAUUGUGUCCUUUCUCAGUUGAAAGCAGGAAAGGCAGGCAGGGAGGGGUCUUCAUGUGGGGCCCUGGGAGGUGGCCAGUCAGGGGUCAGGGAGGCAUUUGCUUUUGAGUUGGAGACUGAUGCUCACUGGAAAACUUGCCUUUGACUCUCGUCAGAACUCUUCACAGGGCUCCAGUGGGUGCGGGUGAAGGGGCCUCCUGGGGGAAAGUAAGGGAGCACAGAGCAAAUUACCCAAACACCACACCUGCAGAUGCACUCUAUCCCUCAGCCAGCCUCAUUCCUGCCCAAGGUAACAGAGCCAGCAGGUCCUCAUCACGGUGCCAUGGGGACGUCCGCUCUCCUGCCCACCCCCACGCAGGUGCUGUGUGUCCCAAGUCCACCCUCUUCACCCUGGGAUGAAAGAAAGGCAUGCAGGAAAUUCAAGGGGCCAGCUGGCUCUGAGGCAUCAUUGCUGGACACUGUUUUUAUAACAACCACUGAGCGAGAUGGUUGAACGCCGCAUGCACAGAACUCCACCGGCUGAAUGGUCUGUGGGCUGGGAUUUGCAUUCAAGUUCCAUUUCCUCACAGGAACGGGUGAACUGAGUUUCAUAAUCCAAGGCGACCUUCUCAAGGAAGCUAUUGCCUUUGGUGAGUAUCACCCUGAAAACAGUGCUGGGUGUUUGUCUCUCCUCUCUCGCUGCUUGGCUGGGCAAGUGCCCUUUGCCUAGAGGGAGGGAUCUGAGCCACACGGGGCUGUGAGGGACCCCAUCUCCAAAGGGCUCCAUUUACUGGGUUUUUAUACUUCUCAGAAUAUUGAUCAAACCAUAGAUUUUCUGUAGUCUCACAGCAAAGCCUGCAAUCCCACCGGCAACCGCGUGACAACCUCAAGCCAGUCACCUUUCCAGGCCCAACAACUGUCCUGUGAAUACAGGGUGCUCACGGGAACGGCUCCAUCAGCCCCGCACGCCAGUCAGUGCCAUCUCCAAAUGGUCAUUUGGUCUCAAGUUUAGCUUCUGUCUUAAUGUCUAUGGUUUUGGCUGAAGUCAUAUGGUGUUAUUGAAGCCGAGAACAAAAUCAGCAGAUUUCAUCUGACAUUAUUGCAUAUGGGUUCAUGAGGUUUUGUGGUUUCUUCAUCAAACAUGUAGUUAAAUGUUAUGAAACGGAACCAUAACAACCUUGUCCAGGAAAAAUCUAUGUGUCUAUUGAGGCACCAAAUGUGCUUUCAAGCUGAAUGGUUGGCAGGGCUGGAGAAGAUUAGCCUAGAGUUUAGUAAACCUGCCCAGGUGAACCACUGAAUCUUGCAAUUAAGUUGCUUCUAAUGACUUCACAUUUGGGAACAAAAAUAAACUUUAAAAAGAGAACUAGUACAAAAAAAACAGUGUCCUUCUGACUAUUCUAACGCCCCAGAGGUCAGAUGUUGAAUUGCAGCUUUGACCAAUUUCCAUGGGAGAAUUGCACAUUUAAAAAAAUAAACUUUUCUUCAAAGCUAGUGAGGCAGAGGGAGACACCUUCAUCUCCCUCCCGCCCUUCUUAGCUCCUCCAGGGCUGGCCAUCCUGUCUGCAACGCGGAUUCUUCUGCAUUUACACAUGUGAUAUUUACAGUGAAUGAAAGCUUUAUACUCAUUAUUCAUAAUAAUAAUAUCAAGUGCCUCUUAGUUCCAGGAACUGUUUCUCUUCAUUGCCCCCCUCUUUAAGUUAACAUGCAGGGAAAGAAAGAAAGAAAAGAAAAAGAAAAAGAUUUCUACCAGAUACGAAGCUACAGUGAGAAGGGUUCUGCCAGCAGCCACGUUCCUCAGCCCAACUCAUUAAUUCUGUGCCCCUGAGUCACAGCCGCCGGACAGAGCAGAAUCUCUCCCUGGAGGCAUUUCUAUGCCAGUGAGAAGGACAGUGGCACCAAACACGCAGAGUGCACAGUCACUGGUGAAGGUGACACUCACCAGAGGUUUGUGGCCUUUGCACCUGGAAGAUCAGAGCUUCUCUCUCUGAGAUGAGCUGACACAGCAUGCCAGGCAGAGACAGCCUCGGAAGUCUGGAGGUCCUGAGACUCCCCUGGAAGGAGGACACAGAAAUGAGGUGCACUCACCCUCCUGGGGCCAGGUUGCACGCACAAGCUGGAGACUCCAACCUCACGGAGCUGCCCCUCCAGUGGAAAGAGGCAGGAGCCACACCACCCACAGGUGGAUAAGUAAUCUCGGAUAGCGCCAGGGGCUGCAAUGGAAAUUAAAAUGGAAACAGGACCAGCAGCCAUGGGGCUGGGCAGCCCAGUGUUUUUAGGCAGAGGGGUGAGGAGGCAGCCUGGGGCUGAUGCCUGGAUCUGAAGAAGGAGUGAGCUGUGUGAGAUUUAGAGAGUCAUGCCAAGUGGAGGGAACAGCAGACUCAG